rnacentral:lncRNA from 1 species
AUGUGCAGCCACACUGACUUGCCCACUCCCUGCCGUCCCUCCUCGCCCUCUCCCUGCCGGUUCCUGCACCCGCAGUGCCCCCUGCCUUCGCUGGCACAGGCCAGGCUGUGCCCCAGGCCAGCCCUGCCACAAAGCUGCUGUGGCCUCGGCCCUGCGAUGUCCCUGUGCCGGAGGAGCGGAGAGGACAGGAGCUCGUGGUGCCUUCAGGACACCGGGCCCCCGUCCCACCGAGCAGCUUUACAAACAGGCAACAAAACUACCGGAGGGCAACACCAAAAUUCUCUUCCUUGCUUCUUCCUAAUCAUUUGCAAGCAGACUUCAGUUUCUCUUUGUUUCCCUUUAUUUAAUAAGCCUUUAUUUCCCCUCGUUACGACAGAAAAGGAGGAGCAGUGGCUCCUCAGGGGUGCCGUCCAUCCAGCAAGGCUCCGCAGCGCGCACCCCGGGGGGCUCCCCAGCUCCCCACCGAGUCCCCCCGAGGCAGGAUCGGGCCCCCCACAGCCCCGAGGGUGCUACUGCCCCCCGGAGGACCUCGUGCCCCGCGGGGGUCCCCUGGCCCAGCCUCGGGGACGCAGUGAGGCUGGCAGCCACCAGGUGUCCCUGCAAGCCCGCGCUUGUCCCCGCCGCUGGCAGGGCUGGGGCUCGCCGGAGGGACGAGGGGACAAGCGGGGACACCUCCUGAAGUGGCCUCACCCGCUCCUUGCUUGGCCGGGUCAGCACAGAGCUGAAGUCAGGGGAGGAUCGGGUGGUCUUGUUGGGGGGGAUGGAGAGCGGGACCCGUCGGAGGUGACCGUCACCCAGAGGGGCGGAAAGAAUUGGCUCCAAACCAGCUCCAGGCACCCCCGGCACCGUUUCUGUGCAGGGACAGGUGGCAGGGCAGGGGGCACGUCCUCACCCCGCUGCUGCUGGGGACCAGCAGGACAGCCACGGGCAGUGCCACCACCCUUCUGUGCCAGGACGCCGAGACCAGGCACAGCACUUUGGGAUAAAUCCUGUGCUCGGAGCAUCGCCUCGCGCCCUGGGGGAGCAGCGCCCGCAGCCAGGGCUGCAUCCAGCUUGCUGUCCCCUGACCCAGCACCCACAAAGGACACGUUUUUGGGAAGGAGGUGCCACCCAGCGGCUGGCUGCCUGAUUCCCUGUGUGACCACACCGUGUACGGCUGCAUCAGAGUGUCCGACAGCCCCACAGAGCUGGUGCAGGUCUUCAGGGACAGGGGGAAGGCUGGGGAGCAGUGACAUGUNNNNNNNNNNNNNNNNNNNNGCGGCUGGCUGCCUGAUUCCCUGUGUGACCACACCGUGUACGGCUGCAUCAGAGUGUCCGACAGCCCCACAGAGCUGGUGCAGGUCUUCAGGGACAGGGGGAACACUGGGGAACAGCGACAUGUCAAGGCAGGGGCUUUGGGUGUUAGCUUCUAAUUGCUUCCAUCUGAAAAAAAAAUCUAUUAAAAUAACUCAAUGUAUAUAUCACCUUUUUACCUGCACACACUUUUUCACAGGCACUGCUGAUGCCUGGGCAUAA